rnacentral:rRNA from 1 species
GCAAGUCGAGCGAGGCGGGUAGCAAUACCCAGUCGAGCGGCGAACGGGUGAGUAACGCGUGGAUGACCUGCCCUUCAGCGGGGAAUAACCCGGGGAAACUCGGGCUAAUACCGCAUACGACCGCGAGGUGAAAGGGGGCCGCAAGGCUCCUACUGAAGGAGGGGUCCGCGUCCGAUUAGCUAGUUGGUAGGGUAAUGGCCUACCAAGGCGACGAUCGGUAGCCGGCCUGAGAGGGUGAUCGGCCACACUGGAACUGAGACACGGUCCAGACUCCUACGGGAGGCAGCAGUGGGGAAUUUUGCGCAAUGGGCGGAAGCCUGACGCAGCAACGCCGCGUGGAGGAUGAAGGUCUUUGGAUUGUAAACUCCUGUCAGCAGGGAAAAAGCGACUUGACCUAAUACGUCAGGGAGUUGAUUGUACCUGCAGAGGAAGCCCCGGCUAACUCUGUGCCAGCAGCCGCGGUAAUACAGAGGGGGCAAGCGUUAUUCGGAAUUAUUGGGCGUAAAGGGCGCGUAGGCGGCUUUGCAAGUGACGGGUGAAAGCCCUCGGCUUAACCGAGGAACUGCCUGUCAGACUGUGAGGCUUGAGACCGGGAGAGGUGAGUGGAAUUCCCAGUGUAGCGGUGAAAUGCGUAGAUUUUGGGAGGAACACCAGUGGCGAAGGCGGCUCACUGGACCGGAACUGACGCUUAGGCGCGAAAGCGUGGGGAGCAAACAGGAUUAGAUACCCUGGUAGUCCACGCCGUAAACGAUGAGUGCUUGGUGUAACGGGUAUCGACCCCUGCUGUGCCGAAGUCAACACAUUAAGCAC